AUUUCGCCGGAACAACCAGCCUUAAAUUCCUACUGAAUUAGGGCUUCCAGUGGAUCGCCUUCCCGUUCGUCCCCCGAACCCCUGAAGGACAGCUGUGAUCCCAAUCCCAGAUCACGUACGCCGAGAACAUACUCCAGGAUUGAAGUUGUAUGGUGUGUUAAGAGAUCAUAAUGAAUACCCAAAGGUGAGUUGUAUCAGCAUGAAUGCAAAGUCAUGCCGAGAAUAAGCUCAGUAGCUGCAAUGUCAUGUCAGUUGUUUGGGUGCAAUGCUUUCUAGUCUAAAAUUGUGUUGUCUAAGCAAAUCCUUGGACUUUCAUGAUGCACACAACACUUGCAAUGCAUUGUUUUGUAUUUCCAUUCGUAUUUCAUUGUGGAACGCACACUGUUUGUUUCAUCAUGAAUAUAUGGUCCGAAGACAUUUGAGCCAUAGGUCAUUCCUUCUAGUAUUUGGUCUUGACCUACUGUGGCACUACCCUUAUCUUAUUUGUGAUUGCCAAGCUGUAGCUGCCACUAGUGGUUUAUCCAUUGGUACCUAACUUUAAGCGCACAGUGAUCACAACUUUGUUCAGGCAGCGUUAUGUUUACCUCGUCGGAAAUCUAUUCAGCAAGAUAAUUCUUUCUAUGUUGCAGGUGUUGCAGGUGUUGAGCAUUUAAUUUCAAUUAAUUUAAAGAAUAUUAUGUACUUAAUGAUAGAGAGGCUUACAAAAUCUAGUGUUUUUUUUGUAGAUUUAAUAGUUUAUUUAUUCUAAUGAAGAUGUGAAUCUAUUAGCAAAAUCAAUGUUCGUUUAAAAAUUUGAAGCUACUGGAAUCAGUGAUUCUUUAAGUAGUUAUUAAUAUAUGAAAUCAGAUUAAAUAGGAAUAGAAGUUCUGUAGGUAAAAAAUAUGAGCCUUUGUCUUAGUACACAAGUAUUUUCAAUAGAUUUAUUUUAGUCCCACAAAAUACUAAAUUAAUAUAAAUUACAUGUAAGAACUAUUGCAUUGAUGCUUAUCAAAAUUCAUAGGCAUAUGAUGAAUCAAACCACAAGAAAUGCAUUGCUGUUUUUCCUUAUACUGUGUUUCUACGUUCAAGCUUCCUCUGGUAGGCAUAUCCUCUUGUUACCAGUUUCCUCUCUGGUUGUUUUGUUCUCCUUGGCUUCCACUGAGCACCUCUUGUAUGGUUUAAAUACUGAUUGGCUCGCCUUAAAGUUCCCGUGUUUGAAAUUAUUCGAAGAACUUGUGUCUGGAUUGUUGUCGUUCACUUUAGUUGGUACCCCUCCCUUCGCAAAGCAUUGCAGACAGCAGAGAUCAGUUUGCAGUCAAAACUAACACAAAGGGAACUUUCACUUGAAGUCGUGUGAAGAUAAAAUGAACAAUCUUCGCACAGAUUUCGCGUGGAGGUUUCCCUUAGUUUGUAGGUGUAAACGAUCAACUGGAAGUGUAGUUUCCUUAUCUUGCUCACCUUUGUUUGUGCAACUCCAGUAUGCAAUGCAGAGUCAUAUGGUCGUCUUUCAAGGGACGCUCCAAAUGUAGUAUGAUUCUGACAAAAAAAUAGGCAUGUCGAUUAGAGCAAAGUACAUGCUCAUAUGUGACUACUAGUUACAAAAACAGAAGAAACGCAUGAGAACCUGUUCAGAGAUUGGCAUCCAAGACUGGCCCAUCACUCCAUUGCUUCUGUCUCUAGCUUCGCCAAUGAAACGUUUGGUUUUGUUAUCUUCAUCUGUCUCAAGCUCGUCUGGUAUAGUGUUUUCACUAGCUACUAUGCACUGCAGUCUGUUAGCUUUGGCUUGGUUCAACUCAGAGAAUUCAGAGUUUUCACCCUUUGCACUUGCAUCAUUAGGAGAUGAUGAUACUGGCUUAGGAGAGGAUUGUGGUGGUUUUAGAAUCUCAGAUUGAUGUGCUACUGGAACUUGCAUCAUCUCCACAGCCAACGGUGGAAGGACUUGCAUUGUCUCUGCAGUUGGAGGGACUUCAGUUGCAGGAGGUGAUGGAAAGACAUGCGAAAGGUGGGGGGUACACCAUGGCAUGAUCCCCUGUGCUGCCCACCAGGCAGCUGCAGCUGCAAUGGUGGCAGUGACUAAAGAUGGUGUGCUUGGAGACGGCUUCAUGCCCCUCGCUGAAGGUUCUCCACCUUGUAUUUCUGGAUUCAAAUAAAGGUGGCCGUCCACCUCAACAGAUGGACAGUACGAUGCUGCCAGACUUGCUGCAGCAUGCACUGAUGGAAUUUGUUGCAAUGUAGAAAUGAUAAGAUUUGAAAAUGCUGAUGACAUGUUCAGAAAAGCAUCACAAGAUUCACGUUGGUUGUUGUAUUGGACGACUGGUGAGAACUGAUGCUGUAAGCCUAAGGCCAGAUUGUGCUGGAGUUGCAGCAGAGGAGAAUGUUUAAGGCCCAUUGAUGGACUAACAGCUGCUGCAGGUCCUGGCUGAUCACUGCUUGUGAGGGUUUGCUCAUUCUUCUCUUUACUUCUGUUAAUGCCGACAGAGUGUGCCUGUUUGAUCGAUGAAACAUGAUAAUUUGAUAUGCUACCUUCAACGUCUA